AUUGAACGCUGGCGGCAUGCCUUACACAUGCAAGUCGAACGGUAACAGGUCUUCGGAUGCUGACGAGUGGCGAACGGGUGAGUAAUACAUCGGAACGUGCCCGAGAGUGGGGGAUAACGGAGCGAAAGCUUUGCUAAUACCGCAUACGAUCUACGGAUGAAAGCAGGGGACCGCAAGGCCUUGCGCUCAUGGAGCGGCCGAUGGCAGAUUAGGUAGUUGGUGGGAUAAAAGCUUACCAAGCCGACGAUCUGUAGCUGGUCUGAGAGGACGACCAGCCACACUGGGACUGAGACACGGCCCAGACUCCUACGGGAGGCAGCAGUGGGGAAUUUUGGACAAUGGGCGCAAGCCUGAUCCAGCCAUGCCGCGUGCAGGAUGAAGGCCUUCGGGUUGUAAACUGCUUUUGUACGGAACGAAAAGACUCUGGUUAAUACCUGGGGUCCAUGACGGUACCGUAAGAAUAAGCACCGGCUAACUACGUGCCAGCAGCCGCGGUAAUACGUAGGGUGCAAGCGUUAAUCGGAAUUACUGGGCGUAAAGCGUGCGCAGGCGGUUAUAUAAGACAGAUGUGAAAUCCCCGGGCUCAACCUGGGAACUGCAUUUGUGACUGUAUAGCUAGAGUACGGUAGAGGGGGAUGGAAUUCCGCGUGUAGCAGUGAAAUGCGUAGAUAUGCGGAGGAACACCGAUGGCGAAGGCAAUCCCCUGGACCUGUACUGACGCUCAUGCACGAAAGCGUGGGGAGCAAACA
rnacentral:rRNA from 1 species